rnacentral:rRNA from 1 species
AUGGACCAUUCCAUCCCUUUUUCCCCUGCAUAUGCAUCGGACUCGGAUGACGAUGGCCCCGAUGAACAAGUUGAUGCGGAGGGGUUCACGGUGAAGGAGGCCGAAGCUUUCAAGAAGGUAUUUGGUCGGGAUCAUCGGACUACAUUGUUCAAGGAUGUUAGUCUCGCGGAUGAAGCCGUGGUAGAUGGUGACCAAUGUGUACCUCUUGGGGUUAGGCCAAGCUCUCACCGUGAUUUGGUAGACGACAAGAACCGGAUUGCUAAAGGUUCUAAGUUCGACAGCUUGUUGGAUUUGAAGAUGUGGCUCGACAACUACUCGGUUACGCAUUAUCGUCCACACAAGGUGGUGCACUCGGACGUCAAUGUGCGCUACACGGUUGCAUGUGCAUGUGAAGAUGAAAAGGAGGUCCAACUUGGACUUACAAGAGGCCGUGGUGGUGGUAGAGGUCGUGGAAAGGAGGUCCAACAAGGAGUGGCAAGACGCCGUGGCGGUUGUCCGUGGAUUGUGCGUGCAAGACCAUGGAAAGGAGGUCCUACUUGGCAUGUAGUGAGUUGUGUGCCAACUCACAUGUGCCAAGGCAAAAGGGUGGAUGGCAAGAUUGUGUCCGAAGACCACAAACAACUCACGUCCGAGUUCAUCGCUUACAGGCUCUCCAACUCAAUAUCCACACUUCCACAAUGA